CCUACGGGUGGCAGCAGUGAGGAAUAUUGGUCAAUGGGCGCGAGCCUGAACCAGCCAAGUCGCGUGAGGGAUGACGGCCCUACGGGUUGUAAACCUCUUUUGCCGGGGAGCAACGGGCGCCACGUGUGGCGCCACUGAGAGUACCCGGAGAAAAAGCAUCGGCUAACUCCGUGCCAGCAGCCGCGGUAAUACGGAGGAUGCGAGCGUUAUCCGGAUUUAUUGGGUUUAAAGGGUGCGUAGGCGGAUCGUUAAGUCAGUGGUCAAAUUGAGGGGCUCAACCAUAGAAUUGCCGUUGAAACUGGGGGGCUUGAGUAUGUUUGAGGCAGGCGGAAUGCGGGGUGUAGCGGUGAAAUGCUUAGAUAUCACGCAGAACCCCGAUUGCGAAGGCAGCCUGCCAAGCCAUGACUGACGCUGAUGCACGAAAGCGUGGGGAUCAAACAGGAUUAGAUACCCCUGUAGUC
rnacentral:rRNA from 1 species